GCCUGGGUGGCUCUGUUGGUUAAGCGUCUGACUUUGGCUUAGGUCAUGAUCUUGCAGUUCGUGGGUUCGAGUCACACAUCAGGCU
rnacentral:tRNA from 1 species